GAUGAACGCUGACAGAAUGCUUAACACAUGCAAGUCAACUUGAAUUUGGGUUUUUAACUUAGAUUUAGGUGGCGGACGGGUGAGUAACGCGUAAAGAACUUGCCUCACAGCUAGGGACAACAUUUAGAAAUGAAUGCUAAUACCUGAUAUUAUGAUUUUAAGGCAUCUUAGAAUUAUGAAAGCUAUAAGCACUGUGAGAGAGCUUUGCGUCCCAUUAGAUAGUUGGAGAGGUAACAGCUCACCAAGGCGAUGAUGGGUAGCCGGCCUGAGAGGGUGAACGGCCACAAGGGGACUGAGACACGGCCCUUACUCCUACGGGAGGCAGCAGUGGGGAAUAUUGGACAAUGGACCGAGAGUCUGAUCCAGCAAUUCUGUGUGCACGAUGAAGUUUUUCGGAAUGUAAAGUGCUUUCAGUUGGGAAGAAAAAAAUGACGGUACCAACAGAAGAAGUGGCGGCUAAAUACGUGCCAGCAGCCGCGGUAAUACGUAUGUCACGAGCGUUAUCCGGAUUUAUUGGGCGUAAAGCGCGUCUAGGUGGUUAUGUAAGUCUGAUGUGAAAAUGCAGGGCUCAACUCUGUAUUGCGUUGGAAACUGUAUAACUAGAGUACUGGAGAGGUAAGCGGAACUACAAGUGUAGAGGUGAAAUUCGUAGAUAUUUGUAGGAAUGCCGAUGGGGAAGCCAGCUUACUGGACAGAUACUGACGCUAAAGCGCGAAAGCGUG
rnacentral:rRNA from 1 species